rnacentral:rRNA from 2 species
AACCGCGGUUAUACGAGAGGCCCAAAUUGAUAAAUCACGGCGUAAAGUGUGAUUAGAGACAAAACCGAACUAGAACCAAAUACCCCUUAUGCAGUCAUACGCCAUGGGGGUCACGAAGACCAACAACGAAGGUGGUUCUACAAAACUUGAACUCACGACAGCUAGGACA